UACGUAGGGGGCAAGCGUUAUCCGGAUUUACUGGGUGUAAAGGGAGCGUAGACGGUUAUGUAAGUCUGAUGUGAAAACCCGGGGCUCAACCCCGGGACUGCAUUGGAAACUAUGUAACUAGAGUGUCGGAGAGGUAAGUGGAAUUCCUAGUGUAGCGGUGAAAUGCGUAGAUAUUAGGAGGAACACCAGUGGCGAAGGCGGCUUACUGGACGAUCACUGACGUUGAGGCUCGAAAGCGUGGGGAGCAAACAGGAUUAGAUACCCUGGUAGUCCACGCCGUAAACGAUGGGUACUAGGUGUGGGAGGUAUCGACUCCUUCCGUGCCGCCGUUAACACAAUAAGUACCCCGCCUGGGGAGUACGGUCGCAAGAUUAAA
rnacentral:rRNA from 1 species